CCAAACUCCUACGGGAGGCAGCAGUGAGGAAUAUUGGUCAAUGGGCGAGAGCCUGAACCAGCCAAGUAGCGUGAAGGAUGAAGGCUCUAUGGGUCGUAAACUUCUUUUAUAUGGGAAUAAAGUUUUCCACGUGUGGAAUUUUGUAUGUACCAUAUGAAUAAGGAUCGGCUAACUCCGUGCCAGCAGCCGCGGUAAUACGGAGGAUCCGAGCGUUAUCCGGAUUUAUUGGGUUUAAAGGGAGCGUAGGUGGAUUGUUAAGUCAGUUGUGAAAGUUUGCGGCUCAACCGUAAAAUUGCAGUUGAAACUGGGAGUCUUGAGUACAGUAGAGGUGGGCGGAAUUCGUGGUGUAGCGGUGAAAUGCUUAGAUAUCACGAAGAACUCCGAUUGCGAAGGCAGCUCACUAGACUGUCACUGACACUGAUGCUCGAAAGUGUGGGUAUCAAACAGGAUUAGAUACCCUGGUAGUCCACACAGUAAACGAUGAAUACUCGCUGUUUGCGAUAUACAGUAAGCGGCCAAGCGAAAGCAUUAAGUAUUCCACCUGGGGAGUACGCCGGCAACGGUGAAACUCAAAGGAAUUGACGGGGGCCCGCACAAGCGGAGGAACAUGUGGUUUAAUUCGAUGAUACGCGAGGAACCUUACCCGGGCUUAAAUUGCAACAGAAUAUAUUGGAAACAGUAUAGCCGUAAGGCUGUUGUGAAGGUGCUGCAUGGUUGUCGUCAGCUCGUGCCGUGAGGUGUCGGCUUAAGUGCCAUAACGAGCGCAACCCUUAUCUUUAGUUACUAACAGGUCAUGCUGAGGACUCUAGAGAGACUGCCGUCGUAAGAUGUGAGGAAGGUGGGGAUGACGUCAAAUCAGCACGGCCCUUACGUCCGGGGCUACACACGUGUUACAAUGGGGGGUACAGAAGGCGGCUACCUGGUGACAGGAUGCUAAUCCCAAAAACCUCUCUCAGUUCGGAUCGAAGUCUGCAACCCGACUUCGUGAAGCUGGAUUCGCUAGUAAUCGCGCAUCAGCCAUGGCGCGGUGAAUACGUUCCCGGGCCUUGUACACACCGCCCGUCAAGCCAUG
rnacentral:rRNA from 1 species